GGGUAAGGGUGAUGCUAUGUGUUUGGUGUUUGGGUAAGAGUGUUGCUAGGUGUUUGGCUAAGGGUGAUGCCAGGUGUUUGGUUAAGGGUGUUGCUAUGUGUUUGGGUAAGGGUGUUGCUAGGUGUUUGGUGUUUGGGUAAGGGUGUUGCUAGGUGUUUGGUUAAGGGUGUUGCUAGGUGUUUGGUUAAGGGUGUUGCUAGGUGUUUGGUGUUUGGGUAAGGGUGUUGCUAGGUGUUUGGUUAAGGGUGUUGCUAGGUGUUUGGUUAAGGGUGUUGCUAGGUGUUUGGGUAAGGGUGUUGCUAGGUGUUUGGGUAAGGGUGUUGCUAGGUGUUUGGGUAAGGGUGUUGCUAGGUGUUUGGGUAAGGGUGUUGCUAGGUGUUUGGGUAAGGGUGUUGCUAGGUGUUUGG